rnacentral:rRNA from 1 species
CGGAUUGGAGUCUGNAACCCGACUCCAUGAAGCUGGAUUCGCUAGUAAUCGCGCAUCAGCCACGGCGCGGUGAAUACGUUCUCGGGCCUUGUACACACCGCCCGUCAAGCCAUGGAAGCCGGGAGUGCCUGAAGUACGCGACCGCAAGGAGCGUCCUAAGGUAAAACCGGUGACUGGGGCUAAGUCGUAACAAGGUAAC